UGACCUCGGAUCAGGUAGGA
rnacentral:rRNA from 4 species